rnacentral:rRNA from 1 species
UACAGAGGUCUCGAGCGUUGUUCGGAUUCAUUGGGCGUAAAGGGUGCGUAGGUGGCGCUGUAAGUCAGGUGUGAAAUUUCGGAGCUUAACUCCGAAACUGCAUUUGAUACUGCGGUGCUUGAGGACUGGAGAGGAGACUGGAAUUUACGGUGUAGCAGUGAAAUGCGUAGAGAUCGUAAGGAAGACCAGUGGCGAAGGCGGGUCUCUGGACAGUUCCUGACACUGAGGCACGAAGGCCCAGGGGGAGCAAACGGG